CUUCGUAUCCUGAGCACUCCGUAUCCUGAGCCAUAUCUGAAAGAAAAGCUAGGAAGCUGAGACACAAAAUAUACCUAAUACACUAAAAGGGUACUUGGAAGAAGGAGUUUUGUAUAUUUCGGAGAAUCAGAAAAGAAGCACUCCUGCCACGUUACUGUCAGAACUUACUGAUUGGAGCUGCAGUCAUCAGCUGAUGGGCCGGCGAGGGAGAAGCACCCAGACACAAAGGAACCCAUUGGAACAUGUAUUACUGAACCGGAAGACCGCCUGCCAACAGGACCUGACAGAGCAGAGGGUGGGGAGGAACUCUGGUGACCAUCUGAUCCACACCCUCUUUUUAUGGUUAACGAACCUCUGGCCCAAUCAAACAACCUGCUCCAUGUCACCAACCAACGUCAGUGUCAGCACAAAAGCCUGCCAGCCUCCUUUUCGCUGCCCCAUGCCACUGCUGCUGAAGCCACAUCACUGGACCCAAUACCUGCUUGUCG